AAUUACUCACAGCUUUUAAUCACAGAGAGCAUAUAGUGGCAAUGUACCUAAGCUAAUUUUUGAUAUAAUAUCCAUACUUUGAUAAAUUCUAAUAAUGAAUUUGACUUAUUAAAUUCCAAAUGAUGACUAACUUUUCAAUAUCUCCUUAUCAAAUCAACAUCACUCACUCAUAAAAAUUCGAAUAUAAAAUUUUCUUCUCCCACAUUGGCAUUAUUGUCUCCAGAUAAAUUAAUUGGUUGAGGAGCUGGCGAUUCCUGGUUUGUGUUGUUAACAGAACUUGUAUUAGAGUAAGCUGGUGAUGCUAUUGAUAUACUCGUGUGGAGUGGAUCAUAUGAUGUAGAAUCGAGCAGUCGGAGUUCGAUAUUUGAAAACAAUUUGGCCAUUUCCAGUUUAACAAUGGCUUGUUCUCUGGGCGGAAAUUUCUUGAAUGUAUCGGCAUAGCUAAGGAAUAAAUUGUCAGUUACGUCGAGUUCCUUCUUAUUUUUAUUAGAAUUUAGAAAUUGUAUCACUCUCCCUACAUCAUCAUCACUUCCUGGAUGUCCUCUUGAUCGUUUAGCUUUUCCAGAUGAAAUGCUUGAUGGUGGCGGGGGUGCCUGUGAUGAUGACGCGGUGGCUUGCGAUGUUGAUGAGGUAGCUUGCUGGCUGGGCUGGGAAAUCUGCGAUGGAGGUACUUAACAACCGGUGAUUCUUAUCAAACAAUUGCAUUUUCUUUUCGGGUUGGACAUAGUACAGUCAGCAAUAUUGUGAAGAAUGUCUGCGUAGAAAUAUGGAUUUUAUUGCAACCAACGUAUAUGCCAGCACCUUCAGAGGAAACAUGGAGGCAAUCAGAAUUUGGAUACAGAGAAUUAUGGAAUUUUCCCAACUGCGUGGGCAGUAUAGAUGGGAAGCACAUUGCUAUUAAAUGUCCUCCAAAUAGUGGAACACAUUACUACUGCUACAAAAAUUACUUCUCUAUCGUUUUGUUAGCAAUCGUAGAUCCAUUUUAUAAAUUUAUCAUUGUGGAUAUUGGUAGCUAUGGUCGACUGAGUGAUAGCGGAAUAUUCGAAAACUCAAAUUUCUAUCAAGCGUACUUAAACGGAAAAUUACUACUACCGCCAAAACCUCUUCCAGGAGGUGAAGAUCCCACACCACAUGUUUUGAUAGGAGAUGAGGGGUUUGCUUUGAAAGAAUAUCUUAUGCGACCUUUUCCUAGAGCAGCCGUUGUACAUGACAACAGAAAAAAAACUUUUAACUAUAGACUUUGUCGAGCUAGACGAGUCGUUGAGAACAGUUUUGGAAUUUUGGCACAGAAGUUCAGAAUUUUCAAUAGACCCAUAGAAACCAAUGUUGAAACCGCAAUACAUAUCGUAAAAGCCGCCUGUUGCUUACAUAAUUUCAUCAGAGUGAAAGGAGAAACAUUUUUUAUUGAUCUAAAGGAAAUACAGAGUGAUCCAAGGGCAUUCACUCCAGUAAGACCCACAAAUCAAAGAUCUCCAAACGCAGCUUUCGAUGUGAGGGAAAAGUUUGUCACCUAUUUUAAUAAUAAUAGAAUAAAUGUAAUAGAAUAAAUAUAAAAACUGUCA